CCAAGAUAAUACUUUUCCAAGGAACACUUAAAAAUAAUCUUCUUCCUUUGUCUUUACCAAAUCCUCCUAACUAUAUGAAAGACAUUUUUCCAGCUUAGUGCACCGAUUUAGCGAUUAUAUUCUUCCUAACUACAUCAAAAUCUUUAGUGAGUAUGCUAAGAAAAUGAAAGAAGCAACAAAUGUGUUAGUUGCCUAAGGAAUUGAAGUAUCUGAUUCAGAGUUACUUCUAUAGAUUGUAUGUGGUUUAGGAGUUGAAUUUGUUGCUGUGGUGGUGAACCUAACAUCCAUGAUCUCAAGAGGAGGAAAUUUAAGUUCAGAUGAUCCUCAAUUUGAAUUACGAGCCUAUGAAAACAAAUUCACUCUAUAAGGUUGAUAUAUUCAAGGGGGUAGCUCAAUUUUUCGUGUAACUUGAGGAAGAGGAAAUGGUAAUAACCUUGGUUAUGUUCAGUCAACAUAACCAACGUCCAUGGCACUUCUCCAAUUGACCAUCCAGUUUCCACUCUCUCCCAACCUAGAGCAUUAGUCCCGAAAUCUUACAAAAUCAGUGAUUGGCAACGACUGAGAUGACUGAGCGAGUGGCGACCGACAGAGAGGAACACAUGAGACUAUGCGACGACAACCGAAAGGACGAAGGAUUGACGGACGACCAGGAGAGAUGAAAUCCGACCGAUGGAGCCCAAGAGACAAAUCGAGAGGACGAACGACCGAUCUACUACAAUGAGAGACAAUAUCUGACUCAGAAUCAAGCAGAUACUGUUAUUGGAAACAAUCUUAAAGAAUUGUGGGGACUUUGUCCAUAUGCAUGUGGCAGAGAGAGAUGUUCUUCAUGAGAUGGUUAAAAUAGCAAAGAAAAAGCCUGACUUUAAUGUCAAGGAGAAGGUACUGGUUCUAAUAGAUACUCGGCAAGAAGCUUUUGGAGGACAGAGGGCAAGAUAUCCACAAUAUUUUGCAGCAUACCAGGAGUUGUUGGUACGUUUCUGGUGGAUGGUUCUUUAAGUGAUUAAUUAGUGGAGAAAAAACCUAUGUGAUGAGACAUGGCACUGCCAUUUGAUUCAUCUUUUCAUGCAUUUUCUAUAUAGAUUGAUUUCAUUGUACAUUUCUCUACUGAUUUUGCUAUAAGCAGUGCUAAUUGCUGUUUUAGGCUUUGCUAAUUUCCAUUUGAUUCUCCUAUAAAGUGGGGAGAAGGGUCAUGUCACUGGUUCACUUCCAUCUGUGCAUGAAAGUUUAUUUGCCAAGCUCUGUAGAGAGUAUGAGAGGGGGAGAGAGAGACAGCAUGUGACCUUUUUCCUCUAUUUUAGCGUUCUCUGAAAAACAAUUUUGUGUAUCAAGGCGUUGGGGCAAUAUUUCCUCAGAGAUCUGAGAGGGCUGCACCUGUCUUCACUCCGCCUCAAACUCAACCCCUAUCUUCUUAUCCUUAAAAUAUUUGAAAUGGUGGUAAUCACCAAGAGGCAGCUGAGUCUUCUGCAGAUUCUCAUUUCCCAAAUUUGAGGGGCAUAAGGAGGAGGUGAUUGUUGACUUGGUGGAACAGUGUCGAACAUCUUGCUAAUUCCACUGCGGAAGUCAUAGUUUUUCACCCACUUGUAUGUGUUUCUUAUAUAGUGAUGCCUCCUCGCUCUCAGUCUUUGCUAACGAACGAAAGGUGUCCCAAUCUUCCACCGUCACUCCUCUCUCUCAAUCUCUUUGCUGGGCUCCUUGCUCUUAGUCUCUGCUAACAAACAAAAGGUGUCCCAAUCUUCCACUGUCACUCCUCCCUCUCAAUCUCUUUGCUAGCCUUCUCUUCAUCGACUUUACUGAAAAAUUACAGCAGGUUUCAAGUAAGUACGAGUGAGAAUUCGCGGUUUAUAAUUUUUGUUGGCUAUUGUGUUAAUUUAUUUAACCUAAUUUUUGGCUUGAUUUAUUGCUGGCUGUGUCGAAGGGCUUGGUUAUUAAAAUAAGAGGUUUGCUUUUGUGUUGCUGGCUUGCUGUUGUGUAGUUAGAAUCUUUGAUUGUCUGUUUUGUGUGGGAAUUGCGAGUGAUUAUUUGAAAGAGGAUUGGUCAUUAUUGUUGAUUGCUUGUAAGGUAUUUGAAAAAAGGCCUGUGAGAAGUUACGGUAGUUUUGUGCUUAAUGUUUCUCUUAUAUAUAUAUAUUCAUGUUAUUUGUUCUUGAUACA